rnacentral:rRNA from 1 species
GACGAACGCUGGCGGCGUGCUUAACACAUGCAAGUCGAACGGAAAGGCCCUGCUUUUGUGGGGUGCUCGAGUGGCGAACGGGUGAGUAACACGUGAGUAACCUGCCCUUGACUUUGGGAUAACUUCAGGAAACUGGGGCUAAUACCGGAUAGGAGCUCCUGCUGCAUGGUGGGGGUUGGAACGUUUCGGCGGUUGGGGAUGGACUCGCGGCUUAUCAGCUUGUUGGUGGGGUAGUGGCUUACCAAGGCUUUGACGGGUAGCCGGCCUGAGAGGGUGACCGGCCACAUUGGGACUGAGAUACGGCCCAGACUCCUACGGGAGACAGCAGUGGGGAAUAUUGCACAAUGGGCGGGAGCCUGAUGCGGCAGCGCCGCGUGCGGGAUGACGGCCUUCGGGUUGUAAACCGCUUUCGCCUGUGACGAAGCGUGAGUGACGGUAAUGGGUAAAGAAGCACCGGCUAACUACGUG